AGAGCUCUAGAGUGUGAAAACGUGUGCUUGGGACCACGUGGGAAAGGGUUGAGGACGAGGGAUCAGGCAGCCAGAGAACUGAAGCUUCAACCCUUUCUCAGAAGUGCUGAAGCCUGGUGCCUUGGCAAAGGAAAAGGGCGCGCGGACACGCGUUCGAGGCGGGGCCGGAGAGGAUCUCCUGGGCACUGCUCGCUCCCUGGCCAGCUAGCUUGCCCACAGUUGCUUCCUCAGUUCUUCGCUCGCGCGCUCAUCCCCUCCCACGCCAGGGAGUAGUUUUGGGUGGCGUGGGCUCCGUCCUUUUCUUGGCUGGUUGGAACCGUGUGCCAAGAGAGGAAGUCUGGUGGGCCCGGCCCCUCCCAGCCCAGCGCCGAUGAGUGCCAGGGCGCCCAAGGAGCUGAGGCUGGCGCUGCCGCCGUGUCUCCUCAACCGGACCUUUGCUUCCCCUAACGCCAGCGGCAGCGGCAACGCGAGUGCCCGGGGACCGGGCGCCGCCGGGGGCGGUGGCGGCACCUGCAUUUCGCAGGUGGGACAGCAGCUCUUCCAGUCCUUCUCCUCCACGCUGGUGCUGAUUGUCCUGGUCACCCUCAUCUUCUGCCUCAUUGUGCUGUCCCUCUCCACCUUCCACAUCCACAAGCGUAGGAUGAAAAAGCGGAAGAUGCAGAGGGCUCAGGAGGAAUAUGAGCGGGAUCACUGCAGCGGCAACCGCGGCGGCAGGGGGCUGCCCCAACCAGCUGGCGGCCAGGCCCCAAUCCACGCAAAAGAAACCCGACUGGAAAGGCAGGCCCGGGACUCUGCCUUCUGCGCCCCCUCCGACGCUUCCUCCUCUUCUUCCCCUGGCCUCCCGUGCCAGGGUGCCUGUGCUCCUCCGCCUCCUCCACCGGCCCCCAGCCCGCAAGGAGCACACACAGCCUCCUCCUGUUUGGACACAGCUGGCGAGGGCCUUUUGCAAACGGUGAUACUGUCCUGAUUGUCUGGCCCCUCUACUCUUCCCUUCCUCGUUUCCAGCAUCUUUGCCUUCCUUGCUUUUUUUCCCCCCCUCCGGCCUUCCUCUUCCACUUUCCUGUGGCCUCCCUCUCCUCUUCUUUCCUUAUUCGUCUUCCCCUACUCCGUUUCUCCUCCGCCGAGGCACUGUGCGGUAUUUGUAAAUAAAUAUUGGGCGAGGAAAGUCUCGGAAGAAGAAAUAACGCUGAUAAUACUACUUUAUUAUUAAUAUUUAUAGUAAUUAUUAUAAUACUAAUAACACGAUCCAAGCGCAUGACAAAUCACAUAAUUUUUCAUUGUUCAUGGUACGUCUUCCCUCUUCACCCUGCGCCCCCCACAAUAAGGAGGAGAAACCGGACAAGCUACCAGAUACGUAAAAGGCAUUGACCCCCAGAGCGAAGGGAGUGGAGGGGGCCCGGUGUGUUGUACAUAGCUGUCAAGUUAAGGUUCAGUUGCCUUUCUUCCCUUCCACCCCCAUAGCUUUCACUUUUCCUUCAGCUUCCCUCCUUCCCCAUUCUUACCUUCAGCUGGGCUCAGGCAAUAGUAUAUUAUAAAGGAAACGUAUACGUUAAGCACCAGGACUACAAGAGGCCACAGAGACAGUCCCAGAAAAAUGUUUAUGGCAGGUACCGCUCUCCACUCAGCCCUCUUCGUACCUUUAGUUAACCAUUCUCUUUUCCAGAGCCAGGCAUUUCAAUUUACCUUUGGAAACGUCCCUCGCUGGCCGAGCAUAUAAGUACAUUAAAAACCUUUAAAUGAGUUGAAAGAAAGAAAAAGAAAGAAAGAAAGAAAGAAAGAAAGAAAGAAGAGAGAAAAAGAAUUUACUGCUUUCUGUUGUUCCCUGCCCUGCCCCCACCUGUACACCUUUGAUUGAGGCACUUUCAGGAUUCGCAAAGGAUCCAUGGAGCUGUCCAGCCAGGUCUGGUGUUGAAAUUGCCUCACAGAACUGGUUACCUUUUUUUGGUUUGUGCAGGCGGAGGAAGGGCUGUUUUGGAAAGUGAUUAUCCUAGCUUUCUGGUGGUUUCUUUCCUCUUUUUCUACAAUCGGGUUUGUGUGUACUAUUAUUUUACUUCUUAUUAAACAUUGCAUAAGUUACCUUUUUUUGUAAAAAAAAAAAAAAAAGUAUUAGGUGAUGUGCAGUGCUGAAAAUGCAGUAUCUAACCAACCAGAAUGUUUCUGUUAAAAUUUUAGAACAAGUGCACCUUUGUUAUAUAUUUAUUAUAUUGGUACCAAAUACAGAAGCAAACUAUAGUUCUGUACUAUGUCCUCCAAACUGUAUAUUCUUGUUCUUAAUUUCCAGCUGUUGAUAUAAUGGUAACCACUGGAUGAGGAAUUCAGUGGUGCAGGCCCGGCUAUUUCCAGAAGUGUUCUUUUGUACCUUACUCUGUAGUAGACUGUUAUAAAAAGAUGAUACAUAUGUUUUCUUAUUUCUUUUGUGGAUAACAGAAACAACCACAACAGAAAACAAGCAAAUAAUGGAUGUGCAGGAAUGCCAUCUAUUAAAACAUGGAUAAUAUUUAAACAGUGCCUGUAGUCCUCCCUGCAUGCAGUUACCACCUGGAGGCAGUGGUGUGUGUGCUUGCUUGUACUGUAUGUGUUUGGGGGUAAGAUUGGUGGGGACAUUGGGCAAUUUGGAUGACUGGACAUGCAAAUUUCAAGAGAGGUGUUAAACCCAGUAACCGCUUAUAGGAUAAAAAUGUUUGCAGCUUAUUUCGUUAGAAACCUGUGCCUGUAUCUGAGAUGCAACAAAAGAGGGGCUCUCUUUCUCUUUCUCAGUCUGGCUUGUCUAACUUCAUUAAAUGAAUGCAUGAAGAAAGAUUAAGAAAAAAGGAAGUGAGAAAAAAGAUCAAUAUUGAUGUUUUCUCUCCUAAUGCUAGACAAGGCCAUCGAUGUUAGAGAUGGCUUCCACCUCUGGUUAUUUGCCACUUGGAUUCCCUUGGGUUGAUGAUAGAAGGGGCCAGAAGCAUAUUAUAAUCUUAAUUGUAUGCAGUGGCAUCAUUUUGGGGGAACAAAUUUGGAAAAUGUAUGAUGAGAAUGUUUUACAAAAAUCUCAACCAAAAGAAUCCUUACUAGCCAGCAGGAUGUAAGGUAACAGUGCCCCUAAGUGCAUCCCUCUCCCAAGUAACUAGUAGUUCUAGAUUCUCUGUCUUGGUGGCAUAUGUGCUCUUAUCCAGAGAAAAAAAUUACCUCUAAGGUCUUAGGUUAUCUAUUAAAUUGCCCAAACUCCGUCUGAAUCUUUUAUAAAGAUAAUUUAAUAAGCUAAAUUUUAAUCACCCAUUAGAUACCCACUCAAGACCUUUCCUGAAGCACAGAGGAUCAUCAUCUAAGCAUGCUAUGUUGUAAUAUUAGGAAGACUAGGUGUAAUCUUUGGGUACAAUAUGUUCAACAAUGAACCAGAUUCUCUCCAGUGCCUUAGUCACUUCCUAGUAAUAAGUAAAAGAGUGCAUUAACUCCCUCAGGCCACUAGGGGAUCCUUUCGUGCAUCAGAGCUCUACACUGUACUUCAGAAUGACUAAGGCACUGUGAAGAAGAAAGCCCAUUAAUUUUUGUAGCUCACCCUCAUCUAGCUGUAGCUAUUUAAUACCUUAUUACAGAAUGACUUUGGGACUUGAAAUUUGAAUAGAAUUAGGGACUCAGAAGGGAGCUUCCUCAUUUCCAAUGAGCUCCACUAAGUGUAUGGAUAUUACUUUCUCCCCCUUAUUUGGUGCACUUUUUACAGUGAAUAAUUUCCCAUUUUAUUAAAGCAAUAAGAUGUUCUGUUGUGAGCAGUGCUGGAUGAUGAUUCCAUUUCCUUGGUGCUGAAGCUACUCAUACAUUUUUGCCUUAUGAAUCAUAGUGAAUUCAAGGCAUGCAAUAAUAAUCCCCUUUCAAGGAGCAGCCUGUACACUCUAGGGGGUAAUUAUGAAAUCAGCUUGUAUAAUUUUUCCCCAAAGGGAUAGAGGAAACAGGAUAAAUAAAAACACUACAUAUAUUGUUUUUAAAAGAUCUUGAUACCUCUAAACAUGGGCACACAUCUAUAAUAUGCUCUUAUUGUACACCUUUAAAUAUGUAUGCCUUUCUCCAUUAAUUGGCUAUGGUUUAAUAUUUUUAAUAGUGCUCUGUGUGAAGAUGAUGUGGUUUGUGAGUCAAAUUUCAUACUGAGUUAAUAUGCUGAGAACUCUAUAAGCUUCUGAUGGUGUCACCUGAGAUUUUUUUUUUAUGAGUUAGAGAAUUACAUAAAAUUCUAUUAAUGCCAGUCCCCACACCAAAUUACUGCAAUAAGCACAUAUCCAAGCAAUUUGCACAAACCCUGUUUAAAGUAUUGCUUCUUAUAGAGCUCAACUGACAGUCUCAGGAGUUUGGGAUGCUACCAACAGGGCAUUUUGGAUUUCAUUUUAUAUGAACCAAAAGGCAAUCUGGAAAUAGAUAAAUUUAUUUUAAGGAUUUUAUUCACUGAUGUCCCGUCAAACUAAUUGCUUCAAAUCCCUAUAGCUACAGCUCAACUUCUGCACUUGCUAUUCAGUAUUCAUAAGGUGGCAUGCUUGAUUCUUAUUGUUUUUAAAGAUAAGAAAAUUGGAGCAAGAAUACCAUUAUGUCAACUGUAUGGGAUUCUGAAUCUUCAAGAUAUAGAUGGAUAUAAUCUUCUUUAGACUUUAUAUACACCCAUAGAUAUGUAUUUAUAUAUGCAUACAUUUUGUACAAAUUUACAAUGGACUUUUUGUAUUCUCUUUUCUGUCAUUACAAGAAUGAGAUGGAAACCAAAUAGUUUUUCCAUCCUCUUAUGCAGAGAGGAUCCUGAGAAGUCAGGUAUAUGCAUGCACUUAUUUCUCUGGAGUUAAAUCUGAAUGACUUUCUCUUUAUUUAAUGAAAUGGGAGAGUCCCGUUUGGCUCGGGGGAAUUGGUAAUUAGAUAAGCUUCCUUUCUUAGUGACUUAAAUGUAGCAAUGAUAAUGAAUUUAUGACCAUAUCCUUGUGGCCUGAAUGUGUAGUUGGAAAGCAGAAAUCCCUUGAAGAGAUUUAGGGCCAUCUAGACCACAAACCUGGAUUGUGGCUUGAUUUUUAAUUUUCAAUCUAUGUGUGGUGUGGAGAUAGAACAUAUCUGCAUAGCAAAAGGUAAAAUGAAAAUAGGACCAUCAUCUGUUUAGUUUGAUAAGUAGUUUUGGGAGAAUAUGGAUAAAUUAGCUUUAAAAAACUUUGGCAUCUGACUUUUCAAACGUUUUUUAUCUGUAUCAAUUAAGUCAUUUAGAUAAUGGUUAAAAUUCCAUUUUCCAUCGUGCAGACAUGCUUUAAAUGCUUUUCUGUGGGUGGCAGUUAAGUAAUUGCCAGCUGAUAUUACAUGGAAACUGUAGAUUAAAUGAGAACCUAAAACUUAAUCUGGUCAGGCUCCUCAGGUCCAUUCCCAUGUGAAUCUGGACUUUGAGCCUAAAUCUGAAAAGCCGCUUAUCUGGGCCAUUGUUUUUUAGAACUAGUGAUUGUGGCUCCUAGAUGUUUUAGUUUACAUUAGAAUAAAUUGAGCUAUCUAUAUAGGGUAUUUAGUCUUUGGAUUGAACAUAAAUCUUAUUCUUCUGAUUUGGUUUUUAUUUAUUUUGAUAACAUGAGAAACAUCUGAUGGCUUGAAAUCACUUACUAAUGUCACCAACAUAAUAAUUAAAUUGGUGCCAUGUAAGAAUGCUUAGCUAAGAAUAAGAAUUUAAUUAGCUUUAAUUGGGGACAGUGUCUUACCAAGGUGGUCCUACCUGUGUGAGGCAAAGGCAUAUGAUUUCAUUGGGUUGUUUCUGUAGAGAGGCUAACAACAGAAAUAAUGAUGACAACAAGACCAGCAACAGAAAAAAGAAAAAAAAAAAAAAAAACUAACUGAUUUUGGAACUCGAGUAUAUAUCCAACUGACAGAAUAAAACCGAAAUUAGAAUUCAUGGAGAAAUUGUUUUGCUUUUCUAUCAAUAAAAGAGUUUUCUUGUUAAUUGGCU
rnacentral:lncRNA from 9 species